rnacentral:tRNA from 2 species
GGGGCCCGUAGCGCAGAGGUAGUCGCGUCGCUAUUACAUGGCGGAGGAUGCCGGUUCGAGUCCGGUCGGGUCCCACC